UCUAUUGUUUACUUUUUUUCCAUGAAUAAGUAGCGGUCAAACUUCGAGUCGUUAUACAUAUCUGUCACUUUCCGUAUUGUGGUCCUAUGAAUUAACC
rnacentral:misc_RNA from 1 species